rnacentral:rRNA from 1 species
UGGGGAAUUGUUCGCAAUGGGCGAAAGCCUGACGACGCAACGCCGCGUGGAGGAUGAAGAAUUUCGGUUCGUAAACUCCUUUCGACCGAGAUGAAUACCCAUGGACCCAACACGUCUGUGGGCUGACAGUAUCGAGAGAAGAAGCCCCGGCUAACUCUGUGCCAGCAGCCGCGGUAAUACAGGGGGGGCAAGCGUUGUUCGGAAUUACUGGGCGUAAAGGGUUUGUAGGUGGCCACUUAAGUCAGACGUGAAAUCCCUCAGCUUAACUGGGGAACUGCGUCUGAUACUGCGUGGCUUGAGUGCAGGAGAGGAACGCGGAAUUCCAGGUGUAGCGGUGAAAUGCGUAGAUAUCUGGAGGAACACCGGUGGCGAAGGCGGCGUUCUGGACUGUAACUGACACUGAAAAACGAAAGCCAGGGGAGCAAACGG